GAUUAAUUAGCGCCCUGUUAUAUUAAGGGGGAAUGUUAAUUAUAUACGUAAGGUAGUAAGAGAUAGGUGCGGGACUAAAGACCCCUUGGAGACUACGAGGUUGAUAGGCCAGGUGUGUAAGUGUGGUAACACAUUUAGCUAACUGGUACUAAUAGGUCGUGAGGCUUGGCCAU
rnacentral:rRNA from 1 species